GUCAAGUCCGUUCCCGCUGGGGACAAGUGCAUCAGCUCCAGAACGACCUCUCCCUUGCUUAGCCCUGCCCCGGGAGAUCAGAGUGACCCAACGCCCUGGGGUACCGGCUCCCGCCUCCCUGUCGUCGUCUUGUUGGGCCAAUCGUCUGGCUCUGGGUCGCUGCCCCGGCGCACGGGCUCAGGAAGGCAGCAGCUGCACGGGGUUCCCAUUCCACCCGGGACAGGUAUGGACCGGCCGGGCCCCUGGAGAGAGUCUCCUCUGAGCCCAUCGCUGAGGCUCCGCCGGGAAAAGAGUAAACCUUCCUCUCCACGCUACUCCAAGUGGACACUGAUGGGCAGGAAAAGGCUGGAACGAAAAGCCCUGGCCUUUGCUGGCCUCGAUGGCUUUGCAGAAGAGAGGUGGCCUCCACCCACGUCUCCCCUCCCCCUCCGCGCCACACAGCAGUACUGCAGUUUGUCACCGGCUUGGCUGGCCCCCUUAACAGUUGAAGCUCUGUUCCUCCUAUGAAAGACUCAGCUACUCUAUCUCCUGGCUGAAGUCUCCAAGCUCCCCGAACACCGUGGUCCCUGAGGCUGUGAGACUCUCUCUUGCAAGUCAGCACCUGAGGAUCCCUGGUCCAAGCUUCAUUCCUCUGGGUCCAAGAACCUAGAAGAAAAGCCUGGAGCCACACACUCACCUGGGUGAAGCCAUAAGGAGGUAAGCUUUCAUAACGAGGGAACAUAUAUCAAAACUCGUGGCUUUGAGAACCGGAGGAACUGGUGUUCAGACGUUUAGUGUCUCCAGCCAGAGCAUAAAGCAACAACUGGUGCCAAA
rnacentral:lncRNA from 1 species